CGACAGGGGAUCAGUUAAGGAAGACACACGCGAGCAGCCGUGGCCAUUGUUUCUACAUUCUCAUUUGGGAACAACAGCUGCAUGAUGCUGUUCUCUCACUCUGCGUAUUUGAAGAUAGUGGAACCUGGCGUGUGUUUGCUGGUCUGGCAGAUGGAACUGUAGCUGUGCUGGAUAUGGAAUAUAUUCUGUGCUCAUCUUUACAUGAUUACACCAGUGAUGGACACCUUUGUGGUGGCUGUCAUCUCAGCAGAGUGUUUCAUCUGAGGUGAAAAGAAACACAUAGUUUUCAACAUCUUUGCAGCUCUUCCAAGAUUAAACAUUUCACAUUUAACUCACUAAUGUACACUAGACGCUAUGGACAGCUUCACAGUGUCAUCCAACCCGUAUGAUCACAUUCUGACACUGCAACCUGGACUUCCGGGUGUCUGGAUCUCAGUGCGUGGAUCAUCAAUCUUAGAACUCUGGGAUCCUGACGCUUUGGUGUGCAAGAUGUUGUAUGACACUUGUGCAAGACGAUACCCUAAUCUUCGCAAAGAUGAUGAGAUGUACUUCAACAAAGCCAACAUUACUUGCAUCUGCAUCUUAACUACACAGUCUGGGUUGGAACAGGGGAGGGAAACUUGAUCACAUAUGUCUUCACACAUCAAGGCUCAAAGUCACCCUCAGACUGUUCCUCUUUCGUCGGUUCCUAUUCGGACAACUUUUCAGCCCUGAUGAGUAGGAAAGCGAUGAUGACCAAUCUGUCUUCUUGUGCUGAGGCUUACGAUCCUGUGCGGGAAGCUGCUAUGAAGUAACUGGUAUGUCCAGCGAAUCAUUGGUAGCUCAAGUGCACGACUAGUCAGCCUGACUGUCAAGUAAAACAUAAAUUUCAACUGGGAGCUUGAUAUAAAAAC
rnacentral:lncRNA from 1 species